CCUGCUUGCUGGGGUCUGUCUCCCCCGU
rnacentral:piRNA from 1 species